UGUGCCAGUGCUUGACAAUAUAUUUCAGAGCAAAGAAAUAAACAUUAAGAAAAACUAAACAAACCAACUGGAAUCAUCAAGUUGAAUACGUAUCUAGGAAUAUUUCAGGCUAAUUUCUGCAAACAGUUCUGUAUUUGAAUAACUUGAAUAAUCUUUUUGACAUGGGUAAACUCCUGUCUGCAUGAUAUACAGGAGCCAACAUGGCUGGGGAAGUGCUUUAUUUUGCUCCUUAAUUAUUGCAAUUUCAGGAAGAGGGGAGUUACUGUCUUCUGGUUCCACAUAACGAGAUAAAAGCACAUGAACUUGCAAGGUGUCACAACAUUUCACUAAAAACUAAACCAGCCUAAAGGAAAUUAUGUAACUCAGUGUAGCUUCUUCUAUUGCAUCACACCCCCAAAUGAGCUGUCACUGGAGGACUGGGGGUUUGUCACUGGGACACCAGCUCCUGUGCUCUUCACGACAUGUCCUGCACAUCCCACCUCCAUACCUGUGCAGGGAAGGGGUUAUUCUUCUUCAGAAGCACGAAAGAGCCCCUCUUAUCACAGAGGAAAUUUGUUUCUGAGGGUGGCUGGUAAGUACAUUUUGUCUUUUGUGGAAAAGGUGAGUCAUAUCCUUGUCAGAAAUACAAACUGCAGGUAAGAAAGCCCUGAACUGUGUGCUUGGCAUUUGUGUAAAAGUCUCCAGAUAACAAAACUACAUAAUGAUUAUUUGAAUGUUUGAUAGAGAUAAUUACUGUUUAUAUAGCUCGAUAUCUAUAUGGAUAGCCAUGUAACAGCUAUGAAGUAUAACCUCUUUCACACAGAAGUAUAUAUUAAUUUCUGGGAAUGGUUCUGGAUUCUGGGUGCUUUGUGUUUUGACAGAAGGAGGGUCUCUGGGGCACAGGCUGCCCUUACAGCCUCUCCUGUGGGCAUCUGUGAGCAGCCUCCGUUAACAGAAGGCCAGCUGGGAGGAGCCCAGCAUCCCAGUGGAAGGUCCAGUCUCCCAUACCUUGGCUCAGCUUCUUUCCAGCUGAGUCAAGCCAGGAUAUCCCCUAACUGAAUUACUCACAGGCCUGUGGCUGUUACCCUGAUGCUGCAGCACCAGUUGAACACAAAGAAAAUACUGCGGUGGCAGUGUGGGAAGGAGAGAGGAGAGUGGAUUGCCCACCCAAAGCUUGGAAGAUGAAGCAAAGACAGGAGGAUUUCUACCUUUAGAGGACUCAUACACAAAAAGACAACGCAGAAAGAACUGUGUCCUCUCAAUACCACCUAAAGAGUCUCCGCUGUGCCUUUUGCAACUGGACUUGUCUAUCUCAAAUUGGCCUUUUCAGCCACCAGUGUGCUUGUAACAAACGUGGGUAGAGCCCUCCCCAAAUCCUCGUGGGCGAAGCCUGGCCAUGAUGAUGAUGAUGAUGAUGAUGACAUGCUUAACAAACUAAUAUAUACAGGAGCUGUAAUUAAUUAACUCGAGUUGUUCUGCUGGCUCGUAAGGUACUGAUCAGAAGGUUGCAGUCUCUAGGAUGGUGUAUUUAUUAGAAAAGAGCUGAGACUGGUUUUCAUGCUGAAGAUAUUCCUGCUUCAACGUCGCUCUGAAGGAAAUGUUGAAGGAGACAAAAUGAUUGAAAAAAAUAUAACCCCCAUGUCUUUUAUAUGCAAGGUUAGGACAAAAUACAAAAAAUUGGAAUGUGAGCUGUAUUUAUUACAUGGGCUGAACACUUGCCACGUGCCAAAAUUUUCCAUGCAAAUAGAACACUUGUGGGUUGAAAUGAAGAGUAGUUUUUUACUGCUUCUGUAAGCACACAGAUCCAUUGUCAGCUCCAAGCUCCCUAGAGCUGUCUAUGGACAGUUCUGCACAGUCCUGUUACAGGUUUGUCUAUGCCUGUGAUUCAGUGUGGACAGAACUGAAACUUCCACGUGUCCCCAGAUGCUGGUAAAAUAAACAGCAGGAGAAAGGGAUGAUUUUCUGCAGCUUUUCCACCUAGUUCUGCAGCAGGCUCUGAUUACAGGGCAAUUUUCCAGUAAGAACAACUGAGGUCAGAGUGAGAACUAAGAAAAUCAAUUAGAAAACAGAUCUGUGAGGUACCCUUCAAGACAUCUCAAUGAGACUUCAUAACAUGGCCUCCUCAUUCCCCUACUUCAAGAGUCUGUAUUGAACUAUUUACAGUCUAUAUAAACAAAGAAUGAGUGAAACCAGAGUGUUUUGAGAACCAGAUGAGGAGGUUGCCCUUUCCUCCUUCUCCACACCUGGCAGAGAGAUGAUGUUUCCAGUAAGAUUGACCUGUACAGCUGUACUUGGGGAUUGAAUUUCUCUUCUAUUCAAUUUUUUUUCAAUUUUCAAUUUUUUUCAAUUUUUUUUCCCUUGUGCUUCUUGCCUGUCCGGUAACACUUUAAAGGGCCCAACCCCACCUUUACAUCCAAGACUCACUGCUGACCACAACCUCUUUCACUAGAGCUUUGUCAUCCAAGCCCUCAGUUCAACUCCUGCCAUAAUUCUUUCUCUUACGUGUUUACAUUCCUCAUAUUCCCACUUCAAACCCUUCACUGCAUGACAUCCUCUUUGUCACCACACCAGGCUAUGUAUAAUAUCUCAGGGAACACCUGUUUUCUGCAGGUUUUCUGUCUCCUUGUCACUGGAUCAGCAGGAGUAGCUGGGCCAGCAAGGCAACUCGAGCCCGACGCGCUUUCCUGCAGAAUCACCACGAGAUUUUGGAAUACACUGUCAGCACUUUGCUUGGGCAGCACAGGGGGAAUUGCUGGUUGUGUUCUCUGCAGUCAGACCUUUUGGCCUUGAGCAUGUGGUCUAAGCCGUGUUUUUAAAGCUUCUGCAGUGCUGGGAGCUGGAUUGUCCCUCCGUGCGAUGAGGCAGCCAGUUCUCACACUGCCUUCUGUCCCUUCCUCCUUGUGCUGAUGGUACACCAGGAGAAAAGAGAGAGAGAGAGAAGACUGUGGAUUGGGGGGGCCCAAGAACUUGGGCAGUAAUUAGGAAAUCUACAAAAUGGAGUGACUGGUGGUGGGAUCUCACCUAUUUCCCUUGGUAACUGGGUACCUUAAACUUCUCCAGUUAAGCAGCACUGCUGGUAGAUGGCUGAUGGUGGUUUGGCAAGUUCUUUCACUGACUGCCUCGUUGCUCCAGGGUGGAUCCCACUGGGACUCAUAGACCCUAACUGGCAUAGCAGGUCAGUAACCAUCUCAUGGGGGCUUCACUCAGCUCCCCAUCCCCAACUUCUAGCCCUGGGGGCUGGGUAUCCUGAGGACAACUAGUCUUGAUAUUAAAGAGUGAGGCAAAGAAGAAAGACUGAGGCAAAGAAGACUGUUGUUGAUAUCCUUGUUGCCAAACAUCAGAGAGGACAAACCCUGGAGUUGGAUGCUCAGGCACAGAAGGUGCAGCUGCCAUCACAGAGGGAAAGCAGGUGAAGAGCCAGGGCUCAGCAGAGUGGGAGGACCUGACCAGUGAGCAACAGCUGCAUUGAAGCAAAGAAGCCUCCACACCUACUUUGUUGAAAUCCAGUAGGUCUUGCGUUACUGUAAAUGGGUUUAAUUGUAUGUUCAGGUGACAAAUCAUUCCUCCAAGUAUUUAGUCAUUAAAAAAAAUUCCCAGGAAAAAAAAGUCUGUGGGUGCCAGGUAUUUUAUGACAGCAGAGUCACUGAGGUGAAUCCUCGCCAAGCGUGAUGAGGACAUGCUUUUUUCCCAACACACCAGGAGCCUUCCAAGUGUUUUGUUAAAACUUUUGACCUAUGGCUUAAUGCUCUUCUCUCAGAUGGUUACAUCUGUCCUGCCAAUGACCAAGGGAAUAUUGACUGCCCCAGGUAGGCUGCCUUAGAUCGAUGAUGGUGUCAGUUGUGUGUAGGUAUUGCUCUUGACCCAAUCGUUUUAUCCCAAACAUGGCACUUAUAUUUUAUUGUUUCAAGCACAGUUUACAGUGUUCUUCUGUAUUAAAGACUCUCAUGUGGCAGCUUUCCACAAGCAGAGAUUUUUAUUUUUAUUUUAGAAUAAAAGCAAACAGAAGAUUGUAAGGAAUUUAUCCAGUUUUGGACAAAAGCUUCAUUUGAGAGUGAUAUUUUAAAGGCAAAAAUGUCAUACUAUAAGUUUUUCUUCACCCUAUAGCAUCAUUGAUUCAAUACACACUUGCCUGGCUUCUUAAGAACGUUAUUAACUGUAAUUUCUUCAGAGUAAUGGGAUUUAAUCAUGCAUAUUUCCACAUACUCCCUAGCCUUGGGGCAUUUCCAGCUGAAGGUGAGCAUGAUCAGACCUGAGACAAGAGCACAGGAAAGAGAGGGUGUGGAGGUCAUUACGCAGGAGACAGUGGGAUGAGAAAUUACUCAAAGACCCAAAGCUUUCCUGGGAGGAUUAUCAAAAAGGAGAAGUCAUUUCAGUAUAAGAACAUGGAGCAGGCAGGAGAGCAGUGGCAGGAGGAGCAAACGUGUGACUCCCAGAGGUGGCUGUAACAACCAAAACAAUGUUUAUACACUACUUGAUCUUUUGAAAGACAAGGGAAAAAGAGGGCAGGAAUAAAGAAAGAGACAGUUUUACCCCA